rnacentral:rRNA from 1 species
UACGUAGGGUGCGAGCGUUUGUCCGGAAUUACUGGGCGUAAAGAGCUCGUAGGUGGUUUGUCGCGUUGUUCGUGAAAACUCACAGCUCAACUGUGGGCGUGCGGGCGAUACGGGCAGACUGGAGUACUGCAGGGGAGACUGGAAUUCCUGGUGUAGCGGUGGAAUGCGCAGAUAUCAGGAGGAACACCGGUGGCGAAGGCGGGGUCUCUGGGCAGUAACUGACGCUGAGGAGCGAAAGCGUGGGGGAGCGAACAGG